rnacentral:rRNA from 1 species
UUUAGAGGAACCUGCCCUGUAAGCGAUGAACCACGAAUAUCAUAACUUUUUCUAGAAAUUCAGUUUGUAUACCGCUGUUGUCAGUUAGUUUUUUCAGAAAUCUUUCAUUAAUGAGAUAAUCAAUGACUUCAAGUAAAGGUGCAGCUUAUGAAAAAGAUAGAGGUGGGUUACAUUUAUUAGAAUAAAAUGGAUAGAGUUUUUGAAAUAGACUCUUGAAGGUGGAUUUAAUAGUAAAGUUUAAUAAAACUUGAUUUGAGC